CACGAGAACCCGAAGAGAUCGGUUGUAGAGUCUGAGGGAGUUAGAGGAAUCAAAAGGAGAAACGGCAAUCGCUCUCAGUGACUAAAGAUUGUUUGCAUCUAGGAUCCAUGAAGUUCCCACUGUUUUUACCUGCGACAUUCCUACUGCUCUCGGCGUCUCUCGUCUGCUGCGUGAUCGAUUCCAUCAGCUUUUCGAAGUACUACUACGACAGCGCGAACUCGAACUGCACCAGCCAGCUGGCGAGCAAGGAAGUGAAAGCCUUGCCUGGCUUCAAGAGUACAGCUCUUGCCUGUUCACUGACGUGCAAAAACGACCCUGUUUGCGAUUUCUUUCUGAUU